rnacentral:lncRNA from 1 species
AGGAGAUGUCCCUUCAAAAGUACCACUUGCAGAGUGGAAGCCUCUUUGAGAGUUGUAAAACCACAAAACUCAACUUAUGCACUCUUAUAGCUGAAUUAAUCAGUUUUCAAUUUGUCAUCCCUCUAGCCUUAUACAGGAUAGAACUGUACUUAAUACUUGAAUGCAUAAUAUUCACACAUACACACACACGGACACUGUUCAUCCGUUGCCUCUUAAAUGACAGAACAAUAUCUGAUUUUUGCUCAGAAUGGAGAUUUUGAGCAAUAAAGUGUUCAUGUUCAAGAUGAAGCUUUCUCCCAAAUUAAUUCAGCUCUUUCCCUUCGUCCUCUUUCAUGGUGUUAAGGGAAGCCACCUUUGCAGAUUUCUUCUCUCAGGUUAUCUUACCCAUUAGCCUAUACUCAUCAUCACUAGAAAAAUCCAAAUGAAAGACAGAACUCUUUAAUCUUAUAGUGAAACACAAAUCUGUUAUAAAUUCUCAUCGUUUUUUGAGAAGUUUUCUUAAAAAAGGCCACUAUGUGCAUGACCUGUUCUCAAACGAGAUUUUACAUAAAUUACAAAUAUACAUGUGCACACACAUGAACAUUUUUGCACGCAGGAAUGCACUCGAAUAUAUAUACACACACACAGUCUCUUAUACAGUGUCAAAAAUAGCUCUGGAGUUAUAGAUGGCCUUAUUGCUAUACAAUCACCAUGGAAACUAUUGUCUCCAUUGGCAAAGAAUAUUUUUGUUUGUAUUUAUUCUGUCUCUUCUUAUUACUUGCACUGUAGUUCUUUUAAUUUUCUGCUUCCUUCCAUUCCUACCCCAGGAGCAAAAGAUGAUAGUAUUAUCUGAAAAGAGUUACCGGUCAGGGGAUUGAACAGGCUGAAAGAAAAGCCAGGGAUUCCUCCUUUUGUCUUGAGAGUGAAACAAGGUGAAAGAGGGCUCAAGGGGAGCAAAUGAAGCAGACAGCCCAGACCUGUGCCUGGAGACAUAACUGGAGAACCAAGCAGUGUGCCCUGCUGUUGCAGAGAACAAAGGACUACGUGGGAAUCUGAGCUACACAGGAGGCUGACAACCAGAAGAAUUGAGCGAUCAUGCCCUCAGACUUUUUCUUUGAUGGUGCAGGUGAAGGAGAACAGAAACAUGAAAAUACUUCAGCUCUUCAGGCUCUCUUACUCUUUCUCUGCAGAAACCAUUUUGUGCAGUGCUCCAGGAGCCAGCUGCUUCACUUCAAUCAAGCACAGCACAGUUUCAGGGUAACUAAAAGAAAAUGAAGGAAAGGAAAUGCCUCUCCUCCGAAGUAGCUUACAUAAAGGCAUUGGAAAGAAGGCCUAAUUCUUCUACUGGGUAAAAUAUUUUUCAUUUAGACCUGAAAAUGGAUGCAAUUUUCUGCAGAUAAAACUGUUUAGUGAGAUGUGCAGAAUACUGGCAUAUCCAUCUGGCGAAGUUUCACAUGGCAGUGCCCCUGUUUUUCAGUGCUGUUCAUGUCAUUUUUUCAUGGGGCAGAAGCAGAGCUUGCAGCACUCAUAGCCAAGCAGUGCUAAGUGGCGCCAAGCAGUGCUAAGUGGCAUCAAGCAGACUCAUGUCCAACUUUCUGGAAAAGUGCAUGGGAAUUACAAAUGGAGCUCUGAGGAUCAAGCAGGGAGAUGAACAGGGAAUUUGUUAGGGGAUAAAGGAUAAUCUAUGCUAUCAAAGAGAGAGCAGAAAUGAGCCUGAGUCCAGCCAAGAAAAAGAGCAGAAGAGGUGCUCCCAUCACAGCAGAUCAGCUCUGAAGGCCACAUGGUGCCUUGGGUACAUGGAUAAGCUUGGUUUGAAGAGAACAAGAGCAGCUGAGUGUGCAACUUAAAUGAUGUUGGUGCUGUCUCUCCAUGAGUAGGGCCAACAGUGGGCAGCUUCAGGAGGGCAUGUAGGUUUGGAGCAGGUGAAAGUAGCAGUUCUAUAGAAAGCUGCAGUGUUUCAUAGAGUCAUAGAGUCAUAGACCAGUUUCAUAGAGUCAUAGAAUAGAAUCACAGAAUUGUUUGAUUUGGAAGGGACCUUUAAAGAUCAUCUAAUCCAACUCUCCUGCAAUGAACAGAGACACCUACUGCUACAUCAGACGUUCAGAAUCUCUUCCAGCCUCACCUUGAAAGUCUUCAAGGACAGAUUGUGUUGCUUUGGACUGCUUUGAUUGCUUCAUGAGUCAAGGAAACCAAGCAUACUCAAAAAAAGUUGACUGUAUGUGAGCCAACAAGUACUGCAGGACUUUUCUCUCAUAAAUCUGUGUGUAGUUAAGAAGAUACUUGAAUGUAGUAAAAUUAGAGAAUCUGAGUUUUGACAGCAAUGCUAGGAAUUCCUUGGAUAGAGAUGGGGGAGAAAGAAAGAGGUGCAGGUGCUGUUACUUCAAUAUUUUGUUAGCUGCUUGGUGUUACUCUUAGUUCUUAUGCCAGGUGUUGGUGCCAGGUGUUUUGAACAGCAACAACUGUUAGGUACAGCUGUAUCCACCAUGCAAAGUCAAGAAAUUAGACAGUGCUCUGCUUUUUCAAAAAGGACAGCAGAUGUUAAUAUCUUGUAACUUUUGACUGUGAAGGGAAGAACAAACAAAACCUUUUCUACUGACAAUGUUUAAACAAGUUCUAAGGCAGGCUGCUUUAUCCUUUCC